CAAAACACUAGGGCCAUUUUCCACGGGUUUCCCAAUAUUGAUCAUACUCAAGCCUUUAUGAGAAAGGAUAUCAUAUGAUGGCUUCAGUUUCUACGCCAUAAAGUAGGCUUUCAGGAUUUUCAUUUUGAUUUUGCAAAAGGCUAUUCACCAAAAUAUGUGAAAGAAUUAUCAACAACCAGGCUGAGUUAGUUCAUAUACCAGCCUCAUUGGAUCCUCAGAUACCGUUAACGUCUAAAGACUGUCCAAUUUGUGAUGCAACGUAGACUGCCCAAUUUGUGAUGCAACGGUCAUUGUCUUUGGCUCCCUAUAUGCAAAAAGUUUCUGGAAGAAAGCACCUCAGAAGAUAGCAUCAUCGUCAUCGUCAGUAAAAUUGAGCGUAUAUUUGCUGUUACUUUUUAAUGUCUAUUCUCUCCAAAUAUACAUGAAUGAAGUAUAAUUGAACGUAUAUUUGUUAGUUGGUAAUCUACGGGAAAACCUUGCAUCACUUUCGAACAAAUAUAUUCUAAUUUGCAUUUUCCUCUAAUUGUUUGUCAAGCAUCUGAAAUUGUGCUUAAUGAUCUUUAAGUUAUUGUAAUUAAUGAUGUAUUUUAAUCCCCACAAAAUGGUUAUGAUGGCUUUCACUUUUCUUUUUAACAAGGUCGGGGAUAGAGAAGAAAAGCUUGCUGAAGGGAUCAAACUUUAUGCUGUAUCAGCCACUGCAUCAUCAAAACGGAGAAUUCUUUAUGGUCUUAUAAAUGUAAGUUUGUUUGUUUGUUUCCAACAAAAUCUGUCGGUAUCACACUCAAAUUAUCAUUGAGUCAAUGCUCUACACAGAAUAACAAUGCGAACCUUUUAAUCGCUCAUGCAAUCAAUAAAGAUAUAAGUCUUCUUUUGGACCAGCUUUAGCAUUGGCUGUUAUCAAGGGCUUGAGCGAUAUCUGAAAGAUUGGGCUGAUGAUUCUCUUCGUGGGAAAUUAGCGCAAGUCUUUGCAGCCACUAAUAUGUUGUCGGAGGCUUUGUUGAAUUAUCAGGCUACAUUAGGGUUGAUCUCAUAUUCUGUAAACAUCAGUCACGACAUAGGGCAAGAAAGUUCCAUCAACUUAAGGAAGUUUCUCUUUAACACAAGUCUUUGGAGUUUGCAUACUAUAUAAAUCAGUUGAUUAUAUGGAGGUAGUAAAAGAUAAGGUGAACAAUGUGAGGAAAGCUUUAUAUACUCUUUUUAAUGAAUAUGCCACGAAAGUUCCAUCAACUUCAAGAAGUUUCUCUUUAACAAAUUCCUGUUCUUAUAAAACAUCAUUUAAAAGGCUAUUAUAUAAAAGGGAGAUGGAGUUUCGAGUAAGUUUCUGUUUUGUAUCAGCAAUUUCCAUAUAUGUUUGUGGACUGCUAAGAGCCUACCAUCUGCAGCUUCACUUGCUACCAUAGCUUGGACUCUUACACUUCUUGCCAUGGGCUUUGCAUGGAAAGAGAUUGAGCUUCAAAUUAGAAACGCGCGUUUGGUAAGCCAAGAAAACAAAAUCAUUUGACAACUUUCUUUGUCGACUUUAUAAAUUACAGUUUAAAAUAUUCAUUGUGGCUUUGCUUUACCUCGCUAGAACUAUUGGAUAUCAUGAUUCAUGAUACCAACAAUGUGUGAGAGUUCGAUUCAUCUUGAUAAAAAGGCGAAAACUCCCUUAAUACAUUUUAGUUAUAGAUAAUGGUUGAACUUUAGAAUAUUGAGGUUAAAAGUAAGUCAUAUGUGUUUUCUUAAUAGUACA